rnacentral:lncRNA from 1 species
CCUCAGGUUGAUCCCACCCCACUUGUAGGCGAGAAAGACGGAGCUUACGCAUUCGCCAAUGUUGCGUAGGGAGGAGAGGCACGCUUUGAUCUCGGGGUCGUGCAGCACCCACGGCGGCACCACCCACGGAUUCCUUGACCGCCGCAGCCCUGCUUCUGCUGCAGCUCCUCCACGCCAAGCCAUGGCUUCUGACAACGAC